CACCACCCGACCACCACCCCCACCGCGCGCCAGGAGACGUCACCGCGUGGAGCGCGGGGGAAGAUGCCACCAGGCCAAAUGGGCUUUGGGGGCGGGGGUGAUCUCCCAGCCGCAUCGUCAUCCGUCACGAGUCGCAAAUAUUUGGAGUCGCCCCUGGGUGAUUGUCGCUCUGCUCCACCGUGGCCCGGGGCGCGCUGUUCGGCUCGGGCGCAGAGCGCGGGGAGCCGCUCACGAGGCAGGGGGCACGCCCGGAGAGAAGAUCUCUACUCUGUUGAGAGGGCGUAGCCAGGUGAGGUGGGUCAUGCACACCCCAGGCUGGAUCUUGCGAAUCCUGCGGCUGCUGCUGCGUCUUCUGCGUCUUCUGCCUCCCCUGCAAGAGGUACAGCUCACAAAGCCACGCGUCCUUGUGGGCCACGCUGGCUGCCUGCAGCGUGAACUUGUCCAGCCCGCUCUCGUGCUCAUGCAACAGCUCCAGGAUUCGCUCGUGCCCCUCCACCACCUCGCUCACCUCUACGUUCCGCACCUGGACGCCACGGAGGGAGAGAAAGGGCAUCUCUCCGUCAAUUGCGAGACGUCGGGAGCGCGCCAGGGCUGGAGAUGCCACGACCGAGGGCUUCCCAGGGGGAACGGAGGAGACGCUCACCGGCAGGGCGUGCAGGCACGUGUAGGCCUGGGAGGCCGAGUGGCUUCCACGCCUCGCCUUGCACACGAGCAGGUGGCUGUUGAAGAGGAAGAGGUGGCGGCGGUGGCCUCGUCGGCUUAUCGCCUCGCUGCCCUCCCACGCCUCAAACACGUCCUGCGCUCGCAACGGCGGAGAUGGUUGGAGGGGUGAGCGAUGGUGGCGGAGGGGUGGGAGAUUCCAUCCAAACGAACAAAACAAACACUGAUCCUGCCUUCAGUAAUGGCUCAAUUAAUGCUUUUAAAUUAAUAAGCGUUUGCCAUCUUGGACCACAGCCAGAAGCACAUGAAUGGCGCAGGUAUCGAACCCUCUCAUGAAACCAUGUCCACUGUGGUGGACUACUAUGAUAUAAAUGAUUGCGAUGAAAUUAUGAGCAUUUUUAAUGAUGACUCCAUAUUUUGGCGUUCCUUUAACUCCUGAAAUCACAACAUCAAAAAAUAAAGUUCGGGUUAAAUAUCACAAAAUAUUUAAGUAGAAAUAAAUGACUUCUUGAAUAAUGAUAAUUCUCCAACUAAGCUGAUUGCUUCGCUCGACUGAGAGCACCUGUCUAAUGGGAGAGCGCCUGCUGUGUGCACGUGGCUGCAGGGUUGUUGUGUGCACGUCGUGGUGACGUCAUUGCCACUUAGUGGCGAAUGGCGGUUGUUGUUGUUGUACCUGUCGCAAGAGUGGGCCAAGGUCGGCGAGGUUGGUGGGCACCUCCUCGAUCAUGGACAGCUUCAUCUCGUCCUCCGCGCGUUUCGGAAGCGACGCCACCACGCCGUAGGCCUCCUCCAGGCCUCGGCAGUCGCCGCCCCGGCUCGCGCGCCUCCGGAUCAAGUCCUGUGGGCGGGCGGUGGCAGCGUGAGCGACCACACCUGGGCAGCUGUGUGACACCGCUGAUCUGUGCCACACUGCGGCUGCUGACCACUGAGGGUUUUUCUUCUUUCGUACAGCUGAUGUAGAUGUAGAGCAACAACUACAAUUUCACAUUCAGGAGGUCAAGCCAGACAACCGCGUUAUCUGGCUUGAUAACAAAUGUGGGUAAGGUUGGUGAACGGUGUCCCAGGACGGUAAGCGGUGGCCACGCAUGCCUCUAACGCAGCACUUGAAGACAACGGCUGGUCGACUUCAUUCUGUGCUGAAAUUCCCUACAAGGUAGCCAAGGAUGGCAGUACAACAACUAGGAUUGGUUGACUGCUAUUCCUUGGAUACCAGGUACUCCUUUUUUCUUCCCUCAUGAAAAGGAAUUUGGAAAACAGCACCAUGCAGGAUCCUCUUAAAAAAACAAUUUUGAGGCUCAUUGGUCCUUUCCAGGAUAAAUGGUUGACGAGACUUUAUGGACAGGGACUGGGCGCCUUUCCCUUUUCUCAGAGCCAGAUGCCCGGCUGCUCUCACCUUCAGUGCCACCUGAUAAAUGUGCAGCUGCUCCUGGGGCAGGUCCAAGUAUUUCUGUAUGGACAGCACCGACUCGGGGAAGUGUGUGGACUGGCGUAGGAUCUCGGUAUAUUUCUGCACAGACAGGAAGGGAACAACGGAGAGAUUUGAGAUAAUCCUCACGGAGGACAAUCGACACCGAUGCACGAUAACUGAGGGUGCGGGUCCGUUGCUUCAUCGCGUGGCGAUGGCUUGGGGGGGAAAGUGGAGCUACCUCGAAGGUGACCCUGACGGCGUCGCUCAGCAAGAGCAGGUCGGCCUUCGGUUUGCCGCGUAGGUACUGCACGUACACCUGGAGUUGCUCGCGGCUGCCCAGGAUGGCGUCCACCACGUCGCUCUCGUCCCUGCACGCCCUGAGCCUGGGCAGGAAAACCCUGGGAGCGCAGCACAACGCGUGAACCGCCCGUCGGCAUACGGCCCGUGUCUCUGCACGUGCACUCUGCUCACGUGGCUGGCAGAUGGCACGCGCUCGGCUUCGGUGAGAUAAAAAAGACGUUUGAACAAAAAAUAUCAAUAGCAUGGAUGAAAGAUUAAAUUUCUUUAAAAAACAAAGCCCAACGUGCUCCAUUCAAGACCAAAGCUUAUUUACAUGUUUUAAUACUUUCUAAGGCCACAGUCAAUCAGAAGGAGAACGAGUUGGGAGUAAUUUGUCCAACAUCUAUCAUUGAAAACCGGCGAUAGGCGUAGGAAAUUGGCGAGGCAGUGGCAGCAGGAGGCAGUGAGUGCUCACUGUCGGUGGAAGUUGAGGAUGUCCUGCACAUUCCUGAAGAUGGCCUCCCGCUUGGACCUGACCAGUGCCGGGAUGUUGACCUGACUCUCCACGAACUGCACGUGAUGCGACACCAGGAAGGACAGCUUCUUCACAAACUUCUCCUCCGCCGCCACCAGCUGCUGCAGGGUGACCCUGCCGCGGGAAAUGCCAACGAGGGAUCGUGACGUUGCGCAGGCAGCUUUCGGAGCAGGGUGAGGCCCUUUAAAGCCUUUUUCGGUGAGGCCGGAAAUUAUUUUUUCCCCCGACAUAAACAAUGGUGUGCGACGGUGCGAUUCUGGGUACAUUUAGAACAAUGUUCGAGUUGUGUGUGACGAAAAUAGACGUGGACUUACUCGAUGGGUUGUUCCUUGCGGCCCGUGGAUGGUGUCUAGAGAAGGAGCGACGGUGGACGACAGAAAUUAAAGUAACCGUUCGUG